rnacentral:rRNA from 1 species
AGUGAACGCUGGCGGUAGGCCUAACACAUGCAAGUCGAACGGCAGCACAGUAAGAGCUUGCUCUUACGGGUGGCGAGUGGCGGACGGGUGAGGAAUACAUCGGAAUCUACUUUUUCGUGGGGGAUAACGUAGGGAAACUUACGCUAAUACCGCAUACGACCUACGGGUGAAAGCAGGGGAUCUUCGGACCUUGCGCGAUUGAAUGAGCCGAUGUCGGAUUAGCUAGUUGGCGGGGUAAAGGCCCACCAAGGCGACGAUCCGUAGCUGCUCUGAGAGGAUGACCAGCCACACUGGAACUGAGACACGGUCCAGAUUCCUACGGGAGGCAGCAGUGGGGAAUAUUGGACGAUGGGCGCAAACCUGAUCCAGCCAUACCGCGUGGGUGAAGAAGGCUUUCGGGUUGUAAAGCCCUUUUGUUGGGAAAGAAAAGCAGCAGGUUAAUACCCCGCUGUUCUGACGGUACCCAAAGAAUAAGCACCGGCUAACUUCGUG